GGUUGGUCCAAUGGUAGUAGGUUAUCAGAACUUACUAAAAUUACUGUCACUAAUGGUGAUACACAACCCCCACUGCUAAAUCUGAAUGGCUUUUU
ensembl:Y_RNA Y_RNA Y RNA